AACGAACGCUGGCGGCAGGCUUAACACAUGCAAGUCGAACGAGAUCUACGGAUCUAGUGGCAGACGGGUGAGGAACACGUGGGAACAUCCCUUUCAGUUCGGAAUAACGUUGGGAAACUAACGCUAAUACCGGAUACGUCCUUCGGGAGAAAGAUUUAUCGCUGAAAGAUUGGCCCGCGUCUGAUUAGCUAGUUGGUGAGGUAAUGGCUCACCAAGGCUACGAUCGGUAGCUGAUCUGAGAGGAUGAUCAGCCACAUUGGGACUGAGACACGGCCCAAACUCCUACGGGAGGCAGCAGUGGGGAAUAUUGGACAAUGGGCGCAAGCCUGAUCCAGCCAUGCCGCGUGAGUGAUGACGGCCUUCGGGUUGUAAAGCUCUUUUGUCCGGGAAGAUAAUGACUGUACCGGAAGAAUAAGCCCCGGCAAACUUCGUGCCAGCAGCCGCAGUAA
rnacentral:rRNA from 1 species